AUUCUGGAUUCCUAGCCACUCCCUCACACAACACUGUCACUUGGGGAAGAGAGAUGGGCAUCCUGCCACCGGCUACCUGGCCGAGGGCCCAGCUAAGGCUUUGGUCGCCUGAGGAAGAGUUAUAAGUCACAAUCAUCAUCACCGAAUAGAGGUGGUUCUAACAGUCCAAAUGAGAGCUGAUUGUCCGAUCAGAGCCCAGUUCAACCCAAGGAAUUAGGACAGAGCAGAAUCAAACCAGGACCAGCCACCUGUAGGAGACUGAGUGUAACUAAGUACCCAGUGGAGUGCUGGGGGGCGACAGGCAGAAGAACCCUGGUGAAGGAGGAAGAGAUGCUACCCACCAACCCUCGAUGGUGGCCUCCCUGCCCACUUCCCAGAAUUGGAGGCUCAAGGGACAUUGGGAAUGUGAGGGUGCUCAGAACAGUAAGUAUCACUGGUAUUUCCUUUGUGUCCGAGUUACCCAGUCAGCCAUGGUCUGGAGGCAGAAGAUGCUCCUUCUGAUAUGCCACCAGGAAGUCAGUAGUGGCCUAACGCUAUGUCACAACACCUACGUCAUUCACCUCACCUCAUCUCAUCACGCAGCCAUUUUAUCAUCUCACAUUAUCACAGGAGGAAGGGGCACUUGUGAAGAUAUUUAGGACUUACCCAGAUAAUCCAAGAUAGUCUCCUCAACUCCAGAUCCUUAACUUCAUCUCAUCUGUUACCACAUAAGGAACCCAUUCAUGACCAUGCCAGAUUCUAACAUGGUUACUAGGACCCUGGAGCCAUGAUAUAUACAGUCUGAGGUGGCUCUUAAUGUAAUUGUAAGUGUCCUACUAAGAGGAAGGCAAGAGGGAGAUCUGACUACAGAAGAGAAAUCAUGUGGUAACUGAAACAGAGAUUGGAGAAGUAUAUCCACAAUCCAAGGAACACCAGCCACCAUUAGAAGCCAGGAGAGGCAAGAAUCCUUCCUCCAGAAGGAACCAGUUGUGCCAACAUCUUGAUUUUAGUGCUGGAAGACCCAUUUCAGACUUCUGAUUUCC